CAAACACAAAAAUGGGAGCACUGUGCAUUGGAGAAACCGAGAACAAAGGAGUGUGGAGAGGGGGUGGAGAACAGUGAGAUGAAAUUGGAGAGAAGGUUCUUGUGGUUCUCUGCUUUGUGACGGCCCCACUGGUCCUCAACCUCCUUACCGGUGACAUGGGUGUGGUCACACCUACCUGGUAGGUUUAUAGUGAGUGUGAAACAUACAGUUGUAUUUCCUUGCUAAACUCAUGCCCAUAGGACAUGCUCAGUUAUGGUCAUUUCCUUUUACUCUUUUUUCCUUCCAUUACUUAUAUUUUGAGUUCAUAAGAGCAAUAUUUAGAUUUUGUGUGUCAGUGGAUCUCCUUAGUUCCCAUCCCAGUGCAAACUGCUUAGAAAAGGCUCAGUGGCAGCUGGGGUUACCACUAUGAUUAUUAAGAAGUCUUCUGUAUGUUGGGAUAUAACAUUUAUUUUCUCACCUAGAUUUUUAUUUCAUAAAUAUUGCUGUGGGUUUACAAUACUAAAUUGAAUUUCCAGCAUCUGAUUCUUUUAAAUGUAGAAUUAUGCAUCUUUAUUAUCCAUUCAUAUUUCAGGUUUGAAUGUACAGUUGGACAUGAUUUUAUUUUUGAAUGAGCAGAAUAUUGGUUAGUUCAGAGGUUCAAAGCAUCCCUAAGAUUUAGAAUGAUAAAAAAUGGAAUCUAUAUAUAUUGGAUUGCAAUAUGUAUUUGCAUCACAGCAUUUUUCUGAUAGCCAUGAGAAAAGUAUAUAAAUAUUGAGAUUGAAUGAAUGUAUAUAAAUAAAAAUAUCCCUUUCACCAAUAAUUUGCAGCACAAACAACAAAGCAGUAAUUUAGAGCUCUGACCUUGUAUUAAUAAUUCAGCUGAUUAGAGGAAACCAAUUGUCUCUUUAUUUCAUGUUCUGUUGCAGCUAAUUUCUGGAGAAUUCUAAGUGAAUCAGUAUGCCAAAAAUUGACGAGUUCCAUUCCUUUUGUGUCUAGAUAGCUUGUUUGUCCUGUUUUCUCAAUUUUCAAGUAAAAAAAAAAAAGUUUUCUUCUUUUUAACUGCCAACUCUGGACUAAAGCUGGGUCCUCCCUUUUUCUUUCUCACAUAAUUACAUAAUCAAGUUCCUGCUCUCUGAACUUUGCUGACAAUUCUGUUGACAAUGCAUGCAACAGAGUAAAACACAUCCCAGUCUUCCUUAACGAACUGAGCCUAAACAGUUGUAGAAACUCCCUUUAAUCAGAUUGAUGUGCCCAGAAAGCAGAUAAUAGGAGAAAGAAGGUAUAAAGUAUCACCUUUCAUUGCACGACUCUACAUGUUUUUUUGUUUUCUGAUUAUUGCCAGUAGGUAGAUAGAUGAUAUUUAUACUCUGAAUAUUACUCACAAGGGUUUUUUUAAUUAAUUUUUUUUUGUCUUUUUCAUCCUUCUGCUUUUAUUAAGAAGUUCCUGUUUAUCCCACCACUUGGUCCCUCAUACAAAUACAGUUUUGUGCACUGGCCUAUUCAUAAAUUAUUAAUGUCACAUUGGAAAAAAAACCUUUCAGAAACGCCACUCCCCACCCCAACACCAACAUGUAACUACUGGCUAUUUCGCUGAGCUUCGGGGCACAUGAAGCACACUCAACUUUACUAGUGAAGAUAGCUGCUGAAGCUGUUCUUCCGCUGGUGAAACAAUUAGCUUUAUGUUCCAUUUGCUGAUGAUGGCGCGCGCUAAACUGAUCAUGUUUGUUAAACCCCUGUCAGUCUUUUCAGCCUGCUCAGCUCUGGGGAGAGUCAGGAUGUACAGCCGGGCUCCAGAGCUGUUGGGUAGAAAUAAAAAGAUCUGCACUCAUCGCACAAGAAAAUGGCAUUCCUGGCUGUCAGUGUGGAAGGAAGAGCUCGUCUCUCCAGUGUUUCACAGCAGACUCUCGGCUCAUGUCCCAGAGUGUCAGCUCACGCCUUGUUGCUAAGUGUGUGUUUUCCCCACCUCACCCGACAGGUAGACGUGCCCAACAUGAAAGAAGGCAGCUCUCAGACUGGGAAGCAAGUUUACCCCUAAUUUGGGGCCAGUUUUGAUAAACUGAGUAGUUCCACUAAUUCUUACUUUGGUGUGGGUUUAUUAUUAACCUUGAGAUGUGCCUUAAAUGCCUAAGAAAUCAAAUGUGGAGAUGGUCCACUUCUGUCUGAAGACCUGGUAAGAGGCACCUCCUUUGUCCCAAAGACAUCCCAUCCCCUUCACCUCUCCCCACUGCAUGGAUGCGAACCCAAAUUCUCCAGUAGACUGGUUGUGAAGGGAGAUGGAAUUGCCUGAAGGAAUGGGCUUUGAGUCCCAAGAGUAGGAAUAUCAUGUUGGGACCUAUGAUCUGACCAUGCAUUGAGGGUAUUUGGCAUUUUGCAUCUUCAGCUAGUUUCCAGUAGCAUACAUCUGGCUAGAAUGCUUACCAUAGCGUUAAAAUUAAAAAAGAAAAAUAGACAAACUGGCUGUUGUAAUCCUAAAGAUUUCCUAAGAAGGUAAAUCACAGAGGAAAACCAUGUAUUUUAAAACAAAAUAUAAAUAGAUUUGUCUAUUGUACGCUUUCAAUAUUCUGUAUAUUUUUAUUCACAAAUAUUAAGUGCCUAACCUGUGCCACCAUGAGUAUGAACAAAACAGACAUUCUUCUGGCCCACAAGAAGCUAACUGUCUAAGCAGCAUCCCGUUUAGUCAGCAUGAAUCAUCAAAGUUGUUUGUAUUAAGAAUCCAUAGCCUUAACACUUCACUCUUGCUAUAUGGUCUUGUCUAAAUAUCUCGCUGCUCUAAAUUUCAGCAUCUCCUGUAUAAAACGAGGGAAAUGGGUCUGGAUAAUCCUUUAGGGACCUGAACAACAUUCAGCCGGCUUCUGCCAUUAGCGCCUGUGUGGUCUUAGGGAUGCUGCUUAAUGUUUCUGAGCUUCAAAUGCUGCAUAAGUAAAAUGAAAUGCUCAAUUUGCAAGGUUUUUUAUUGUCAUUGUUAUUGUUGUUUAAUGAAACAAAGGCUAAAGUCUAGCCUGGCCCAGUAGUAGUGCUGAAUAGAAGUAGUUAUUAUUGUAUUGUUUUUUUCUGUGAAUCUGUGACUAUUGCUUGUGAUCCAAGGAUUCCAAAAUGUAUUUUAUUAGAUUUACCAAGAUCUCCUAAUUCUGGGAUGCUGCUGUUUAUAGUAGACAACAGAAUUCAGUUUCUAAAGAGUUACCCUGUAGCAUUUUUCCUUUCUUUAAUAAAUCCACAUGCAGGAGCACAGAUGAGAAGAGAAAUAUAUAUUGGCUUUGGCCAGGUGACACAGAAGCAUGCUUAGGACCCACUGCCGAGUGCCUUAGGUGUCAGCAAAGAGUCAGCUGCUCUUUGUUGACCUGAUACCAACUUCCAAAGUCACUCUAUUGCAGUUUCAAGCAAGAAAACAUAUGACAGUUUACACAGCUCUUCUAUGUUCCUCUAGCUUUUUCCUUCCAUGGUAGAAAAAUAAAGAUUUUUCUGAGAACUAAAUGAUAAUAGAUAAUAGGGAAACUUCAGGAAGUUACUAAAUAUUUCCUUUUGGAGCUGUGGACAUGCAGACAGCAGGCCACUGAGACAUCAGCCAGACACUGGAAACUCGCCUGAUUUGGUUUCAGAAAAGAUACCAAAGAAUAAUUAGACCAUAAGGGGAAUUCUGUUUUCCAUUCCCCAGGGACUAUGAUUAGUAAGUGACUUUCCAUGUCAUUCUUUUUUCCACUUCCUGUUUUCCCCCUUGGAGAAAAUUGUUUACUAAAUGACGGGAACAAAUGCAACGAGAGCACCCAGGCAGCCUGGGCUGUACGGCUGACCCGGGCAAGGCUGCUGGUUUCAAACCUCUCUGGCGCACGGGGCCUGGAUGGGAACUCUCUUUUCUCUUCAUCUGAACAGCCAAAUGUUACAUUUGGAACCCAACUCAACUCUCAAAAGAAGCUAGCGGGUAAUUCCAAUGUGCUGUUGGGGACUUAAAGAGUAUUUGUAAGUUAUUUGAGAGCAAAGUUUAGGACCACCUCCUUUCAGAGCUCUAGGGAAAGUGGAGUUGACAUAAGAAAAUUGACAACAAAAAAUACAAUGUUCCCAAGAAUGAAAGCUGGUGACAACAACUUAAGUAGAGUGUCAGCAGCCCCAAUUCUGGCUAGCACCGCUGGAAAUUGAGAAGCCAGCAUGAAUGACCGGUGCAUUACAGAUGGCAACGUCAUAUUUUUAGACUACCUGAAGCAUGCAGUGAACGCAUAGGUGGUUGCCGAAUGUUUCUCACCUUCUUUGGAGAAUGUGGACUUGCUGAAUGCCACACAGACCCUUCAUAUAUCGUUCAAAUUGCAUUUGGAAAACAGAACAUUUAACUGCCUGCCAUUUUGAGCUGCUGCUGCCAAGGAACCCAUACACCGAGGCUGCUUCAGGGAGGUGGGAGGGGGGGAUUUGCAUGAUCUAGCAGGUGUCUCUGUUUCAACCUAUCAAUUAGGAAAAGAGCAGAGGCAGAUGUGAUAUAUUAGAUGGCCCUAAGAUGGAUCACUCUGAAAAAUCUCAUAUUGGCAAGAGGGAUUCAAGUUGCCAGGAAUCCCAAGUUUGCCAUGUGACAUCCCCCGAAGUCUGACAGGGUUUGACUGGUUUACUCUGCUAAAUGAAACUGCUGAGAUGACUGUCUCGAGGUGAUUAAUAAAGUGCAUAAAUCUUAACUAUGGGAAGAAAAGAAGAUGAAUUGAUGCAUGCACAUAUUGGAAAUGUAAUGAAACCAAAUUGAAGCAACCCGGAUUUGCUAAUAUAUUACAAAAAAACAAUACUGUGUUUAUUGUUCCUCACUGGUCUUAUUAUGUUGGUCUCAUUUCAAAAAUGACCAGGAAGACGUGUUUGAUUUUAUUUUUCAUUUUUCUAGCAUAGGAGACCAGAUUGGCAACAAAGUGGGAGAGUAAUAAUGACAUCAUAUAUAUAUGUUCCCCUCAUAUUCAUCAUUUAUUAUAUAUUUCUCCCAUGUUAAUGCAGUUAAUAAAAAGAAAGAUUGGUUCAACUUCCCUUGAAGCUGCUAUUGAAUGCUGUUAGUCAACAUAUAUGAAGUUUUAGUAGUUUUUGAAGUAAUUAGAACCCCGGAGCAAAUAAACACUAAAUGGGCUUUCAUCUUUGAAGUUAUUUUUUCUAACUAAAUAGCUCUGUUCUGUUAUAAUUAUAUACUAGUCGUUAUAAAAUUAAAAAUCAUUUUAAGCUAAUGGAUGCCUUUUUUUAAGAAGUAUUUGUUUCUUGCUAAUUAUUGUGAACUAAUUGUAGUUUAUGAUGGUCUUCAAGAAAUCUGAAAUCACUGCUUUAGAGUCCUUGUCUCCAAUGGUUGCAGACUUUAGUUCCAGUAGGAAAAAAAAAAAAAAAAA